UACUGCUAUCAGUGUUCGAUUAAGCCAUGCGAGUUAAAUGUUCUUCGUGAACAUGGCGUACUGCUCAGUAACACGUGGAUAACCUGCCCUAAGGUCCGGCAUAACCCCGGGAAACUGGGGAUAAUACCGGAUAAACCAUAGAUACUGGAAUGUUCUGUGGUUAAAAGUUCCGGCGCCUUAGGAUGGAUCUGCGGCCUAUCAGGUAGUAGUGGGUGUAAAGUACCUACUAGCCGACGACGGGUACGGGUUGUGAGAGCAAGAGCCCGGAGAUGGAUUCUGAGACAUGAAUCCAGGCCCUACGGGGCGCAGCAGGCGCGAAAUCUUUACAAUGCGGGAAACCGCGAUAAGGGGACACCGAGUGCCAGCAUACAAUGCUGGCUGUCCACAUGUGUAAAUAGCAUGUGAUAGCAAGGGCCGGGCAAGACCGGUGCCAGCCGCCGCGGUAACACCGGCGGCCCGAGUGGUAAUCACUAUUAUUGGGUCUAAAGGGUCCAUAGCCGGUUUGAUCAGUCUUCCGGGAAAUCUGACAGCUCAACUGUUAGGCUUCCGGGAGAUACUGUCA
rnacentral:rRNA from 1 species